rnacentral:rRNA from 1 species
CCCUUAGAUGUCCUGGGCCGCACGCGCGCUACACUGAUGCAUGCAACGAGUUUUUAACCUUGGCCUGAAAGGUCUGGGUAAUCUUUUGAACGUGCAUCGUGAUAGGGAUAGAUUAUUGCAAUUGUUAAUCUUGAACGAGGAAUUCCUAGUAAACGCGAGUCAUCAGCUCGCAUUGAUUACGUCCCUGCCCUUUGUACACACCGCCCGUCGCACCUACCGAUUGAAUGGUUCGGUGAAGAUCUCGGACUUCGAUAUUUAUUCUUUAUUGAGUUUAUAUUGUGGGAAGUUAUCUAAACCUCAUCAUUUAGAGGAAGGUGAAGUCGUAACA